rnacentral:rRNA from 1 species
UAGGGAAUCUUCCGCAAUGGACGCAAGUCUGACGGAGCAACGCCGCGUGAGUGAAGAAGGAUUUCGGUUCGUAAAACUCUGUUGUUAGAGAAGAACAGCGCAUAGAGUAACUGUUAUGCGUGUGACGGUAUCUAACCAGAAAGCCACGGAUAACUACGUGCCAGCAGCCGCGGUAAUACGUAGGUGGCAAGCGUUGUCCGGAUUUAUUGGGCGUAAAGCGAGCGCAGGCGGUCAAUUAAGUCUGAUGUGAAAGCCCCCGGCUCAACCGGGGAGGGUCAUUGGAAACUGGUUGACUUGAGUGCAGAAGAGGAGAGUGGAAUUCCAUGUGUAGCGGUGAAAUGCGUAGAUAUAUGGAGGAACACCAGUGGCGAAGGCGACUCUCUGGUCUGUAACUGACGCUGAGGCUCGAAAGCGUGGGUAGCAAACAGG